rnacentral:rRNA from 1 species
UACGGAGGGAGCUAGCGUUGUUCGGAAUUACUGGGCGUAAAGCGCACGUAGGCGGCUUUGUAAGUUAGAGGUGAAAGCCCGGGGCUCAACCCCGGAAUUGCCUUUAAGACUGCAUCGCUUGAAUCCAGGAGAGGUGAGUGGAAUUCCGAGUGUAGAGGUGAAAUUCGUAGAUAUUUCGGAAGAACACCAGUGGCGAAGGCGGCUCACUGGACUGGGUAUUGACGCUGAGGUGCGAAAGCGUGGGGAGCAACAGG